rnacentral:lncRNA from 1 species
GGCCACACAAGAAACACCUGCCCCGGCUGCGUGAACACUGUCGCGGGUAGUGGGGACCACCACAGAUCACGCAGCGGGGAGCCUGGCGACGAUCGGGUCCUCCUCGCUGAGUAGACGAGCCACGUCCCCGCGACUGGCUCCGGCUCCUGGGGUGCCUCGGCGGCCUCCGUGAGUGCGUCUGACUCAUACCCUCAGCCGCAGGCCUCUUUCCCUUCCCCUCCUCCGAGCUCUCGCGACGCUCCUGCAAAUCCGCCGCUCCCGCCUUCACUAUCAAUGCUCGAUCCACAACCUCCCGGUAGGUCUGGAGGUUGGAGGACUGUACCAACCGAAAGAUAGAAGGCCGCAAUCCGCGCUCAAAAAUGCGGGCCUUGUCCU